AGCGAGGCUAGAGUCACACCUGGACAUGGUCCUGUUGACCUGGUGUGCUAGAGCGCUUGCAGAGUAAAGUUGUCUUUGCUUAUUUAUUGGCUGUAGUCUACUGUGGCCCAGUCAGUCACCAUCACAGACACAUUU